GGUUUAUUCAUGUUGGUGUCUCUACACCGGCCCCUCCCGCUGAUGUGAGAGGAGGGGGCUGAAGCCAGCAGGAGUGGGAGCAAAGGGGGGGUUCUGGUAUAUCUCCCAGAAAAGAACGCCGGCUGACAGUUUCAGGACAGAGAGAGAUUGUCCUGGUUCCUGGGACAAGCCUAGCAUAUCAUCUAGGGGCAUGGUGAGUAGAGAACAGGGAUGGCUGGUUUGCACCAUCCACAGUCUCCUGCUCUAUUUUACUGAGCCCAACGCCCUCCACUAGAGAUGAGGAGACACUGGGAACACGGGUCAGGAGGAGCCCGGCCGCUGCAAGAUGCUUUCAGAUUUGCUAAUAAAACGGUAUGACCAGCACAUGCUUGGCAUCAGUUGGAAGAAUCCUUUCAUGACAACUUUUCCCAGUGGGACUUACAGAAUGUAAGAACUGGAAGGGGCCUUAGAAUAAAAGAUGGUAGAGCUGGAAGAAACUGGAGAGACGAUGAAUUCCUGGAUGGCGGUCUGUGUAUGAGCAUCUCCCCACAGUGCUUUGUACGUAGUAGGUGCUCCACUGACAUCCAUCGAAGGAGAGGAGAGAUGAAGGAGUUGGGGAUUACCAUUUGCCAGCACAUUCCUGGUUCACUGGCUCAAUUCCUCCAUGGCCCUCCCUAA
rnacentral:lncRNA from 1 species